AGGGUAAGCAGCUUUCUUGCAUCAUGUCUUUUGCUACAAUGUUCUGCCUCACAGGCCCAAACAAUAGAACCAAGUGAUCAUGAACGGGAAGCUCUGAAACUCAGCACAGCUUCCAGGAGGGGCAGCCCCUUGCCUGCCAGCCACCUUGGCCAGAGGGCCCACAACAUGGCUGGGCAACCCAGUUCCCAGCCGAAAGCCCCACCUGUUCUCUCCCUGUCCUGGCUACACUCCGUUCUCAAGUCUGACAGGGUUCUGAAGCAGAAACAUGGCAAUCUCCUCAUCAGUGUUUUCAUCUGGACUCAAAGAUGUUUCCCAUCUCUCUUGGCCUCCCUUAUUUAUUCUCCAAACACUAAAGAGCCUGCUGCAUGUUACACAGGUGGCUGAGAGGAAAAGAAAGGACCUCUGGGGCAGUGAACUACUGGAAGAUGCAUUUCUUUUCCUCAAUCAAGAUCCAGUCAUCUCCACUCUUCCCUAAGACCUAGAGUUAGA